GCCCUGGUGGUGAAAUUGGUAGACGCGCCGGAUUCAAAAUCCGGUUCCGCAAGGAGUGUCGGUUCGAGUCCGACCCGGGGCA
rnacentral:tRNA from 1 species